rnacentral:rRNA from 1 species
GAUGAACGCUGGCGGCGUGCCUAAUACAUGCAAGUAGAACGCUGAAGGAGGAGCUUGCUCUUUCCGGAUGAGUUGCGAACGGGUGAGUAACGCGUAGGUAACCUGCCUGGUAGCGGGGGAUAACUAUUGGAAACGAUAGCUAAUACCGCAUAACAGUAGCUAUUGCAUGAUAUUUGCUUGAAAGGGGCAAUUGCUCCACUACCAGAUGGACCUGCGUUGUAUUAGCUAGUUGGUGAGGUAACGGCUCACCAAGGCGACGAUACGUAGCCGACCUGAGAGGGUGAGCGGCCACGCUGGGACUGAGACACGGCCCAGACUCCUAGGGGAGGGAGCAGGAGGGAAUCUUCGGCGAUGGACGGAAGUCUGACCGAGCAACGCCGCGUGAGAGAAGAAGGUUGUCGGGUCGUAAAGCUCAGUUGUAAGAGAAGAACGAGAGUGAGUGUGGAAAGUGCACACUGUGACGGUAUCUGACCAGAAAGGGACGGCUAACUACGUG